rnacentral:lncRNA from 1 species
CAGGAUCGACCACGGGCACCACGAAGGCAUGGCCAAGAGGGCGUUGAUGGAAGCGGUGGAGUUUGACCACGCCAUCAGCAAGGCGAGCAGCCUGACGAACGAGGCAGACACCCUCACCGUGGUCACCGCCGACCACUCGCACGUCUUCUCCUUCGGUGGCUACCUCCUGCGUGGCACCUCCAUCUUCGGUAGGGCACCGAGAGUGGGGACAGCCCCGCGCCGGGUGCUGUCUGCUCCGGGGUGGUGAUGUAGGGGGGUUUCAGGGCUGAAAACCCGCUCCCCAUUUUCCUCUCCCCAGGCCUGGCCCCCCUAAAAGCCUCCGAUUUGAAGAGCUACACGUCCAUCCUCUAUGGGAACGGGCCGGGCUACGUGGGUGGCAACAGGACUGAACUGAAUGACACCAUCAUCGAGAGUUACGACUACAAGCAGCAGUCCGCUGUGCCCCUCUCCUCGGAGUCCCACGGGGGCGAGGACGUGGCCAUCAUGGCCAAGGGCCCCAUGGCCCACCUCUUCCGCGGGGUGCAGGAGCAGACCUACAUCGCCCACGUCAUGGCCUACGCCGCCUGCCUCGAGCCCUACACCAACUGCCGCCAGCGCAACGCCGCGCCCCCAGCCCAUGCCACCCCCCUGGCCAUGCUCCUUCCCGCCCUGUUCCUGCCCCUCUUCUACUGACCCCAUAGCCCUGCGGUGCCCGCGGGCUCUGCCGGACCCACAGCCUUCCAUCCCCGUGCCCUGGGGCUGUUCGGUGGCUGCAGGGUGCCAAAUCCCAGUGCUUGAUGUUAAAUAAAGGCAGGAGCUGGUAGGAGACGUGGCGGAAAAUCAUGCGGGUGUCUGCACCAUGAGGGUGCUGCGAGUUUGGGGAGGAUGCUCCUGACCCCUGCAUCUCCUCACCAUGGUCGGUGCCCACUGCCACCUGGUCCCAUCCACGGCCCCAUGCACCCCUGGCAUAUCCAGUGCUUUAUUGACCAGAAACAGCAGCGAAAAAUACAGCGUGUGUCCGUGUCCCCGUGCCCCUGGGGAGGCUGGCAUCACCCCGGCCCCCAGCCCACCCCGGUGGUGGGGCUGAUGGGGACGGGACGGGGCUGGCACAGGGACAAGCACCAGGCUUUUGGCACGGGACAGCCCCGCAGCACCCCUGGGUCACCCGCCCUGCCCUGAGCAGCUGGGUGUGGGGAAGGGUUUGGGGAGGUGGACGAGAGGGUCCCGUGGGUGGGGAGCUCAUACCCCCACCCCCAGGGGGCUCCUCUGCCUUGGCACCCCCUGCAGCGGGUGAAUAUUUUGGGGAUGCCCCAAAAUGUGCCUGGAGGAGGGGGGCAGGCAGAGGGUGGCACCUGGGCAGGGAUGGGGACCGGGAGAGUGCCAGCCCGCGGGGACAGCGGCCUCACCACACCGAGCACUUGUGCGUCGGGUUCAUGGGCGAGUUCUUGGGGCAGUGGAAAACGCGGCCGAACUCCUCGAACUGCGAGACGCUGCCCAGGACCCUGCCGGGGCCAAAUGGGGAAGGGGGACACAGCUCAGAGCUGGGCACCCCCACAAAGGGGAUGCCCACCGAGGACCCUGCCCCUCACCCCAGCACCCCCAGCC